UGGCAUAUAAUAAGCGAAGAGAUAUUUUUUUUAGGCUUUUGGAUGCUGAGAUAUCACGAAUCGAGCAUAUGUCUAUCGAGAAUAUAGACCUGUUUUUCUUCCCUAUGUGUCGAGUGUUGAAGUAUUACACAUUCUGCGUGGACAUGAAGAAGGAAAAGGUGUACGUUUUGGAUAGUCAGAAUGAAUUGGUAGAUAUAUGUCAGGCUGCCAAAUAUGUAACAGCUACUGAUCUUAUG